rnacentral:rRNA from 1 species
AGUUUGAUCCUGGCUCAGGAUGAACGCUAGCUACAGGCUUAACACAUGCAAGUCGAGGGGCAGCAUGAAAGGAACUUCGGUUCUUUUUGAUGGCGACCGGCGCACGGGUGCGUAACGCGUAUCGAACCUGCCUCAUACUCGGGGAUAGCCUUGCGAAAGUAAGAUUAAUACCCGGCGGUCUCGGACGGCCGCAUGACUGUCCGAGUGAAGAUUUAUCGGUAUGAGAUGGCGAUGCGUCCCAUUAGCUAGUUGGUGAGGUAAUGGCUCACCAAGGCAUCGAUGGGUAGGGGUUCUGAGAGGAAGGUCCCCCACAUUGGAACUGAGACACGGUCCAAACUCCUACGGGAGGCAGCAGUGAGGAAUAUUGGUCAAUGGACGAAAGUCUGAACCAGCCAAGUAGCGUGCAGGACGACGGCCCUCUGGGUUGUAAACUGCUUUUAGUUGGGAAUAAAAAGAGGGACGUGUCCCUUAUUGUAUGUACCAUCAGAAAAAGGACCGGCUAAUUCCGUGCCAGCAGCCGCGGUAAUACGGAAGGUCCAGGCGUUAUCCGGAUUUAUUGGGUUUAAAGGGAGCGCAGGCGGCGGCGUAAGUCAGUUGUGAAAUCGUGCGGCUUAACCGUGCAAUUGCAGUUGAUACUGCGUCGCUUGAGUGCACACAGGGAUGUUGGAAUUCAUGGUGUAGCGGUGAAAUGCUUAGAUAUCAUGAAGAACUCCGAUCGCGAAGGCAUAUGUCCGGAGUGCAACUGACGCUGAGGCUCGAAAGUGUGGGUAUCAAACAGGAUUAGAUACCCUGGUAGUCCACACAGUAAACGAUG